rnacentral:rRNA from 1 species
UACGUAGGGUGUAAGCGUUGUCCGGAAUUAUUGGGCGUAAAGAGCGUGUAGGCGGCUUGGUAGGUCUGCUGUGAAAACUCGGGGCUCAACCCCGAGACGUCGGUGGAAACCACCUUGCUAGAGUCCGGAAGAGGAGAGUGGAAUUCCUGGUGUAGCGGUGAAAUGCGCAGAUAUCAGGAAGAAUAUCCGUGGCGAAGGCGGGUCUCUGGACAGUUCCUGACGCUGAGGCACGAAGGUCAGGGGAGCAAACGGG